AACAGCAUGAGUGAGAUAGGGAAGAUCAAGAUUAUGGUCAUAAAGUUGCUGGAAUAAAGAGAGAAGAUCACUGUAGACAAUGUUCCAAAAUUACUGAUAAAAAAAACUCAUUGUAAAACCAUCCAGGUCAGGACUUCUGUCACCUUUGAAGCUAAAUACAACAGCUUUUAAGGGUAGAUGCAAAUCUGUGGCAGAUAUGAUUCAUGAAAUUAGAUUUAGUUGGAAGGAAUGGGGCUAUCUGUAUCCUCUUUGAGUUAGAUUAUUUAUCUUGAUUGUUCUAGAAGAUUUUGUUCUCUUUAUAUAGUCUUCUUCUGGUUUUCUUCUCAAAGAGAAAAAAGAAGGAAAAUUUGGUAGUCUGCUUCUCCUUUGAAGGUCAAGUUCUUUUUCUGGUUUAUUCUUCAUGAUAAAAUCCUAAUGCCUGAAAACUGGGCCAUGCGUCUCUUGAAGGACAUUGUCGUAAUGUAAAUCUGCAUAUGUAUUGGUGAAGCGUGUAUUACUGGAGUUCCAUUUCCCUACACAACUAUGGACAUUAGUCUAUGGAUGCUUGGUGGUGGAGGCUUUGGCAUGGAAAAAAACUUGAGAAUUUUUGGCUUGAAUUAUAGGCAAACUUCUGUUAUCAUCCCUGAAGUAACUCUCUGUUGCCUCUUCUGAACAUGUUUGGUAGGUGACUUGGGGGGCAUUAUCCCAUCAUGGGGUCUGCCUAUGCCUUCUACCUGCUGUUUCUCCCUCUCUCUCCCCUUUGUAAUCAUUUCUCUCAUGAAAUUAAUUAAUGACUCAAGCCAUAUUUCUUCUCAAAAAAGAAUUCCAUCUAUUUGUAUCCAACCAAGAUUUUCAAAUGAAGAGGUUUUGUGGGCGACCGGCAUCGACGUGAAUGAGAUUUCGAGUAAUAUAACUCAAUUUAAAAGGGGCCAUUAAGGUCCAUGUUGGACUAACAACCCUCUGACUUUUAAUUUUGUUCAUGGAAAAAUUUUGCCUACCUUUCGGUUGGAUGUCAAUUUUCUGUUUAGUCCCCCGUCCAAAUACCAAUCUCAUAGUCUUAAAUUUAAAGUUCUAGUUAUGUAUGCAUGGACUGGAAUAUAUCCGAAUUUUUUGACAAUGUAACGGGAGCAAGAUAUCAAUAUCUGAAUUGGUGUAGUAAAAUCAGAAUUAUCUACUCUUUCAAAAUAUUAAUUUUAAUAUCCAUAUCAACUUAGGAUUAGAAUGAAAUAUCCAUGGCAGUUCUA
rnacentral:lncRNA from 1 species